UACAGAGACCUCAAGCGUUAUCCGGAAUCAUUGGGCGUAAAGCGUACCGAUAGGUGGUUUUAUAAGUUUUUGCCUAAAAUCCCGAAGCUCAACUUCGGUCUUGGGUAAAAUAACUGUAAAACUUGAGGGCAAAGUAGGAAGCUGGAACGAAUGGUGUAGUAGUGAAAUGCGUUGAUAUCAUUCGGAACACCGAAAGCGAAGGCAGGCUUCUGGGUGCCACCUGACACUGCUA
rnacentral:rRNA from 1 species